rnacentral:rRNA from 1 species
GGACUGAACGCUGGUUGGAGUGCCUAACACAUGCAAGUCGAGCGAUUCUUUAUGAAGUACUUGUACUACAUAAAGAGUAGCGGCGGACGGGUGAGUAACGCGUGGGUAACCUGCCCUAAACAAUGGGAUAGCCCUCCGAAAGGAGGAGUAAUACCAUAUAACACAUUUUUAAGGCAUCUUAAAAAUGUCAAAGAUUUAUCGGUUUAGGAUGGACCCGCGUCUGAUUAGCUAGUUGGUAAGGUAAAAGCUUACCAAGGCGAUGAUCAGUAGCCGACCUGAGAGGGUGAUCGGCCACACUGGAACUGAGACACGGUCCAGACUCCUACGGGAGGCAGCAGUGGGGAACAUUGCACAAUGGGGGAAACCCUGAUGCAGCAACGCCGCGUGAGCGACGAAGGCUUUCGAGUCGUAAAGCUCUGUCCUAAGUGAAGAUAAUGACGGUAACUUAGGAGGAAGCCCCGGCUAACUACGUGCCAGCAGCCGCGGUAAUACGUAGGGGGCAAGCGUUAUCCGAAAUUAUUGGGCGUAAAGGGUGAGUAGGCGGCAAUAUAAGUCAGAGGUGAAAGGCUACGGCUUAACCGUAGUAAGCCUUUGAAACUGUAUAGCUUGAGUAUGGGAGAGGAGAGUGGAAUUCCUAGUGUAGCGGUGAAAUGCGUAGAUAUUAGGAGGAACACCAGUGGCGAAGGCGACUCUCUGGACCAUAACUGACGCUGAGUCACGAAAGCGUGGGGAGCAAACAGGAUUAGAUACCCUGGUAGUCCACGCCGUAAACGAUGAGUGCUAGGUGUUGGGGGUCAAACCUCAGUGCCGCAGCUAACGCAUUAAGCACUCCGCCUGGGGAGUACGAUCGCAAGAUUGAAACUCAAAGGAAUUGACGGGGACCCGCACAAGCAGCGGAGCAUGUGGUUUAAUUCGAAGCAACGCGAAGAACCUUACCUGGACUUGACAUCCCUAUGAAAAUGCCUUAAUCGGCAUGUUCUCUUCGGAGACAAAGGAGACAGGUGGUGCAUGGUUGUCGUCAGCUCGUGUCGUGAGAUGUUGGGUUAAGUCCCGCAACGAGCGCAACCCUUGCCUUUAGUUGCCAACAGGUAAAGCUGGGAACUCUAGAGGGACUGCCGGGGAUAACUCGGAGGAAGGUGGGGAUGACGUCAAAUCAUCAUGCCCCUUAUGUUCAGGGCUACACACGUGCUACAAUGGUCGAUACAAAGGGAAGCGACAGAGCAAUCUCAAGCAAAUCCCAUAAAGUCGAUCCCAGUUCGGAUUGCGGGCUGAACUCGCCCGCAUGAAGUUGGAGUUGCUAGUAAUCGCGAAUCAGAAUGUCGCGGUGAUGCGUUC